rnacentral:rRNA from 1 species
GACGAACGCUGGCGGCGUGCUUAACACAUGCAAGUCGAACGAAGUGGCGAACGGGUGAGUAACGCGUAAUCAACCUGCCCUUCAGAGGGGGCCAACAGUUGGAAACGACUGCUAAUACCGCCUACUGAAGGAGGGGAUUGCGUCUGAUUAGCUAGUUGGAGGGGUAACGGCCCACCAAGGCGAUGAUCAGUAGCCGGUUGGAGAGGAUGACCGGCAAAAUGGGAAUGGGGACACGGCCAAGAUUCUUACGGGAGGCAGCAUGGGGAAACUUUCGGCAAUGGAGGAAAGCUGGACGGAGCCACGCCGCGUGAGGGAGGAAGGCCUCCGGGUGGUAAAGCACUUUUAUCGGGAAGCGGUACCUGAAGAAUAAGCACCGGCUAACUACGUGCCAGCAGCCGCGGUAAUUC